rnacentral:lncRNA from 1 species
UUUUUGAGACAGAGUUUUGCUCUUGUCACCCAAGCUGGAGUGCAGUGGCACAAUCUUGGCCCACUGCAACCUCCGCCUCUGGGGUUCAAGCAAUUCUCCUGCCUCAGCCUUCCAAGUAGCUGGGAUUACAAGUGCCCACCAGCACGCCCAGCAAAUUUUUGUAUUUUUAGUAAAGACGGGGUUUCUCCAUAUUGGCCAGGCUUGUCUCAAACUCCUCACCUCCGGUGAUCCACCCACCUUGUCCUCCCAAAAAUGUCUUCUUUUGAGAAGUGUCUGUUUAUAUCCUUUGCCCACUUUUUCAUGGGGUUGUUUGUUUUUUUCUUGUAUAUUUGUUUAAGUUUCUUGUAGAUUCUGGAUAUUAGCCCUUUGUCAGAUGGAUAGAUUGCAAAAUUUUCCCCCCAUUCUGUAGUUUGCCUAUUCACUCUGAUGACGGUUUCUUUUGCUGUUCAGAAGCUUCAUUCCAGCACUAACCCAAAAGUCCAAGUCCAAAGUCUCAUCUGAGACAAGGCAAGUCUCUUCCACCUAUGAGCCUAUAAUAUCAAAAGCAAGUUAGUUACUUCCUAGAUACAAUGGGGGUAAAGGCAUUGGGUAAAUAUAGCUGUUCCAAAUGAGCGAAAUUGGCCAAAAUGAAGGGGCUCCAGGCCCCAUGCGAGUCUGAAAUCCAGCAGGGCAAUCAAAUCUUAAAGCUCUGAAAUGUUCUCCUUUGCCUCUAUGUCUCACAUCUAGGUCAUGCUGAUGGAAGAGGUGGGCUCCCAUGGCCUUACACAAUACCUAACCAAGGAGUUGAAAGACCUCUACAACAAAAACUACAAAACACUGCUGAAAGAAAUCAUAGAUGACACAAACAAAUAAAAACACAUCCCAUACUCAUGGAUGGGCAGAACCAAUAAUGUCAAAAUGACCAUGCUGCCAAAAGCAAUCUAAAAAUUUAAUGCAAUUCCCAUCAAAAUAUCAUUAUAAUUCUUCACACAACUAGAAAAAACAACCCUAAAAUUCAUAUGGAACUAAAACAAAAAAAAAGCCUGCAUAGCCAAAGCCAGACUAAGCAGCAAAAAAACAAAUCUGGAGGCAUCACAUUACCUGGCUUCAAACUAUACUACAAGGCUAUAAUCACCAAAACUGCAUGGUUCUGGUAUAAAAAUAAGCAUGUAGACUAAUGGAACAGAAUAGAGAACCCAGAAAUAAAGCCAAAUACUUACAGCCAGCUGAUCUUCAACAAAGCAAACAAAAACAUAAAGUGGAGAAAGUACACCCUAUUUAACAAUUGGUGCUGGGAUAAUUGGCAAGACACAUGUAGGAGAAUGAAACUAGAAAAUUUUUAAAAAUUAUACUUUAAAAAGACCAGAGAAUCUGCAUUUUAAAUAAGCAUAUUCUGAUUCUUGCAUACACUUAAAUCCUUGAACUAGUGCCUAGAGGAUAGGGAUACAAAGCUAAUAUGGAUUCGACCAUCUUAAAACUAACUCCUAGAAAAAUGCUCUCACUCUACAAGAAAAAAAGAGCAUCGUUAUCUGAAAGCUCCAUAGUCCCCAAAGCAAUACAUUAACAUAGCUAUAGGAAUCCAGUGUUUGGCUAGUACUUACUCAGUCUGUUGGGGGCUAAUUGUUCAAGGGGUUGCAGUCUUCAUGGAGAAAGUACACAGAAACAAUGAAGAAUAAACUAGCACCAGAUCCAAAAGGUUGGGGGUGGGGGCAACCCUAUGAAAUGUUGCUGUCAUUUUACUCCAUGAAUAUGAACAAUACUUCAACAUACUUGACAUUUAAGGAAAGCUUGGUUUAUAAUAAACUUUGGAUUCUUGAGAGGCUUUUAUGAAAUUUUGUCUUUAGUAGCACAAAGUAGGGUUAAUCCAAUUCUAUAAGCCUUAAACCAAUACUCCAGAGCGCAGUUUGUUAAGAACCUAUGAUUGAGUUCUAGACUAACAUACCAAAUGUAUCUCAGGGUUUAAUCCUUAGAUGGCUCUUCUUUUCUCUAUCUACAUUCAAUCCUCUGGUAUUCUCAUGGCUUUCAAUAUCAUCUAUACUCUGCUAACAGCUAAAUUCUCUAGUUCAAUUCUCUUACCUGAACUCUAAAUUCAUACCCAAUUGCUUAUUUGACAUUACUGCUUGGAUAUCCAAUACACAUCUCAAACUAAAUAUUUCUAAAACUGAAUGGUUCAUCACUUUCCAAACCUGGUCCUUUUGAAGGCUAUGCCAUCUUAGUUAACUGCAAAUAUAUCUUUUCAAUUGCUCAGGCUAUAAACUUCAAGUCAUCUUUAAUUUCUCCUUUUCUUUUUUCACCCCAAAUUUGAUUUUUCAACACAUCUUCUUGGCUCCUUCUUCAAAAUACAUCUAGAAUCUGACUUCUUCUCACCAUUUCAACCUCUACCACUUGAUCUGAGCCACCAUCUUCUCUUGACUAAAUCUAUUGUGAUAGAUCUCUAACUGGUUUCCCUAGUUCUAUGCUGUCCUCGCUCUAAUCCAUUCUUUACCACAAAACCCAGAAUAAUCCAUUUAAAACUAAGCUCAAAGAUAUCAUUCCAUUACUCAAAAUUCUUCAGUGUUUCCUCAUCUCACUCACUCAGGUUAAAAACCAAAAUCUUUACUAUGGCCUACAAGACCCUACAUAAAUCUGGCUCUUCAUGACCUCUAAGAUUUCAUAUCAAACUAUUAUGCAUCUGGCUCAUGCUGCCCCAGUACUCCUAGCUCUGGUCUCCCAAUGAUGUCAUCAUGUUCCUGCCUUAGGGGCUUUGCACAGGCUUUCCUCAGAUAUUCUCAUUGCUUACUUCUUUGCCAUUUUAAGUUAUUGCCAAAAAAUAUCACUUUCUCAGUCAAUAACCCCGACUACCCUGUUUAAAAUGUACUUAGUGCCCAGAACUACUUACCCUUUUUUCUGCUUUGUUUUUCUUUCAUGUAAUGUCACCUUUUAAGAUACUCUAUAAUUUACUUUUCUUUUUUUUUUUUUUUUUUUGAGACAACGUCUUGCCCUGUUGCCCAGUCUAGAGUGCAGUGGCACAAUCUCGGCCCACUGCAACCUCAACCUCCUAGGCUCAAGCCUUCCUCCCACCUUAUAAUGUACUUUUUCACUUUUAUUUAUUAUCUACCUUCUUCCAGUGGAAUAUAUAAACUCCACCAAAGCAAUCAUUUUUGUCUUGUUUUUUAUUUCCCCUCUCUCUGUCUCCACUGUUUUAUUUCCAGUACCCAGAAUAGUUCCUGGAACAAAAUAGGUUUUUAAAUAAAUGAUUUUUAAGUGACUCAGUUAAUAAAGAAGUUUAACUGGCUUUGUGGCCCUGAUAGGACAGGUCACUUAACCUUACAUCCUGUGUAUCCUGAUUUGUAAAAUGUGAUUCAUGAUUCUUAUUAAGGUGUCUUCCACACUCUGAAAUUAAAGUGAUGCUCACAGAUCCAUAGUUAUGGAAGGAAGCCCAGUGAAGUUCUGGGGCACAGCCUGGCUGUUUGAAGACGGUUGUAAGCCAAGCUGCUGUGGCCAUGAGAAAGGCACCCAGUGGUUCCUGUGAUAAAGACUGAGUUUCAACAGAACUUGGUGUUAAGGAGAAUCAGAGGUUGCACUACCCUCUCUAAAAUAGUCAUAAAUAAAAUCUGUCUGGUGGUUUCAUCUUUAUAUCUUUUUUCUGCUUUGGGCAACCCAAGCCUUGUUCACUGCCUCUACUCAGCAUGAUUUUGUAAAUGCUAGCCACACUACAGAGUUUAAAGGUAUGAAAUAUCUAAUUAAAAUGAGACUUCUGGUGGGAAUAGCUUUCAGAGAGUAGUAAUAUGACUAGACAAUAUUUAACAAAAAAAAAAGUCUGAGUCUAGGAGUCAAGGGAACUGGAUCCUAAAUCUGGUUCUGUCACUGUGUGACUUCAGAGAAGUCACUUAGCCUUUAUGCCUCAGUUUUCUCAUUUGUCAAACCGGGAUUUGCCAGCCCUCAAAGGAUAAUUGUAGGGAUUGCAUAAAAUAACAGAUAAAAAAGUACUUUUAAAGUUUACAAAUGCCCUGCAUGUUUCAUCCUUUUAAAGCACUAACGAUGUGUUAUGUUCUGAAAAUGACAGAGAAUUAAAUGUGAUCUUCACUCAUAAAACUAGGAGAUACAAUCCUACAGGUUCACAAUUUACCUAACAGGAUAUGACAUGAUCACUGGGAGAUACUCCAGAAAAGAGGCUGUUGACAGAGUGGAAAAGUCAGGCAUAUGCAAUUAUAAUGUUGAAUCCAAUCAUCAUCAUGAGUUCAGGGUAGAUAUUUAUGGAUCAUUAUGGAGACCAGGAGGAACCUGACAUUUUGAGUGGGUGGUAGAAGAUUUUCUUUGGAGAGGUAAAGUUAUCAAAGACAAAGUCACUUCCAACUUAAGAAGCAGAUAUUUUACAAGCUGUACAUUUCAUCCAUUUAACAGGCCCUAGCAUUUGCUGCAUACAGAAAUUAAGUUUGGUUGACAUGAGAGCAUACUGGAUAUUCUGAGUGCCACACUUGGUACCAGCACAGCUGUAAUCAGGACAGAUUGCAAUAAGGAUACCUUUUUCUGGGUCCACAGAUACUGACAAAAUCCAUGUUUUCUUUUUCCAGGGCCCAGCUCAGAAAUCAGCGCUGAUCAAAUAAAGCACACAUUCCCUUUGGCACUAAAUUUGACUCGGCAGCGUCUGUACAGGGAUCCUGGCAAGUAAGAGAAUCAUUUUUCUAAGCCAUGGCCAGUCCCUGGAAGUGAAUUUAAUCAUAGUAUGGUGUUCCAAGAGGGGAAGUGAGAAAUUUUCAGAGAUGGGCAGAAGGGAAGAUAUAAGAAUAAUCAUAACAAGAUUCUAAGGGGGAAAGCCAUAUUGAAUUAAACUUUAGAUAAUCUACAGCAGCUCUGCAGUGCCCAAAUAAGUGCCUAUAAUACAUGUGUUAAUUAAUGAAAGAAUGAAACCUAGUCAGGGUCGGCUAAGUAUCUAUAAUUGUAUUCAUUUGGUUGCAGAACCAGAACAUUCAGCCUUUAGAAUCACUGGGGAUUGGCUCACCGCUGUGUGGAAGCACAACUGUUAUUUCUGAAUGCCAUCCACGUGGCUCAGCCACUGAGAUGAAGCACCAUUCAGAAGAAGCAAAUGUGUGCUCUAUGUUUCACCCAGUCUGAUUUGGCCAAGAUCACACAGAUAGGUUCUACAAAGAAAGCACUAUUGCCAUUAUCAUCGAAAUACAAAUCUACUUUUGGAAGACAAGUGCCUUAUAAAUACACCAAUUGAAAAACAAGCAAAGUGAAUUUAAGCUACGUAAGUAUGAGGAGAUUCUUUAACAGAAAUGCCCUCUUCUAAGUUUCUCUGCCAAAUCUUCUUACUACAUUUAAAGUUCUCAAAACCUUUUUGUUUCAUGUCCUUGAUUCUGGUCUCUUCAAUGACUUUAGCUACUCUUUAGUACUUAUACAGAGAAACUUCUCUUAUAUGAUACAGUCAGGGAAUGCAAUAUCCCAGCUCUACAAUAUUCUGGCUUCUGGAAAGAUAUGCUUUUGACAUACCAUAUAACAUUUUCAACAGGUUUCGAACAAUAAUAAUACAUGAUAUUCUAUUACAUCAUAUUAUAUUAAAUCAUAUUAUAAUAAUAUAUGGGUACUUGUGCUGAAUGUAGUAUAAUCUUCUCCUGGUGACUCAUCAAGUAUUUUAGGAUCAUGGUUUGUCUGUUUUAUUGAUGCUCACAAAAGCAAAACAACUAUGCCAAAGUGCUGGUGAGUGAAGCAUUAUAUUGAAUAGAUUCCUGCUAAACCCGAGAACAUCUUUGCCCUGAAACUAUCUGGUAUCUAGAUAGCUCAUGGUAACCCUAGGCAUUUGCUGUCAACAUAACAAGAUCAGCUCUACUUAGUUUCCCAGAUCAAACAAGAUCAGUUGUGCUCUAUUUAGUGCAGUUUAACGUCUUCCUGUGAUUACAUUCAUUUAUGUUUUAGGUUUUUUUUCACAAUAGACUCCUUCUUUUGUUUUCAUUUCAGAUUGUCUCCAGGCUCCAAGAUUUUAUUUUUUCAUAGCAAUUUCUUCCCCUCGAUGCUUAUUUUAAUGCUAUGCACAAUAAAUUCCUCAAAAACUAGCCACUAACUGGUACUUACUGGCUAUGUUUUGUGAAACAAAAAUUACAGGAGGCCAUUGUUUUAGGAUGGAAUUCCUGCACUAGUCCCUAACAAAUUGGACCAAACCAAAACAGGGUCACUCAUGCUAAAUGGCACAUAAUCAAACUAAAGCUUUAAGAAAUCAAAUAGAUCCCAAAUGGACCAACUUUUCCUGAAAAUAGGAGACUCCAGUCUACCUGAGUCAGAGUAAUAAGGAAGUCCUCUCUCUUUGAACCUGCACAAAAAAGUAACCUGAUAUUAAAUAAUCAGUUAUUUUUAUUCUUUUUUUUAUGUGGGGUCUCACUCUGUCACCCAAGCUGGGGUGCAGAGGUGCAAUAAUGGGUCAUUGCAGCAUAGAAAUACUAGGUUCAAGAGAUCCUCUCCCCUCACCCUCCUGAGUAGCUGGGACUAACUACAGGCACACACUACCACGCCCAGCCAAUUUUUUAUUUUGUUUUUUGUAGAGAUGAGGUCUCACUUUGUUACCCAGGCUGCUCUCAAACUCUGGACAUCAAGCAAUUCUCUUGCCUCAUCCUCCCAAAGUGCUGAAAUUAUAGGCAUGAGCCACUGGGCCCAGCCCCACUCAGAUUUUUAUUUUAUUUAUUUUAUUUUAUUUUAUUUUAUUCUAAUUUUUUUUUAUUUUUCAGAUGGAGUCUUGCACUGUCACCCAGGCUGGAGUGCAGUGGUGUGAUCUUGGCUCACUGCAACCUCCGCCUCCCAGGUUCAAGCGAUUCUCUUGCCUCAGCCUCCUGAGUAGCUGGGACUAUACGCGCACACCACCACACCUGGCUAAUUUUUGUAUUAUUAGUAGAGAUGGGAUUUCACCAUGUUGGCCAGGCUGCUCUCGAACUCCUGGCCUCCUGAUCCGCCCACCUCAGCCUCCCAAAGUGUUAGGAUUACAGGUGUGAACCACCGUGCCCAGCCUCAGUUAUUUUUACAUUGCUCUUUUCCUUGUCCCCCCUUUACAAAACCCACUGUUCUGCCAUUGCCCAGUGGGAGCUUUACUCUAUCUUGAAGAAUAGAAGCUGCCCCAAUUCAUGAGCCACAGAUAAAAACCAAUUCUAUCUAUAACUAAAUUUGUUGUAAUUUUGUCUUUUGACAAUUUUAUAUGGCGAAAAUAGCCAUUGUGCUAAGUGAAUAACCAAAAUGUUCUUGUAAAUAACAUAAAUUUGUGGUUUCCUAGUAUACUCUGCAGAGCUCUGGGAUUCUCUAGAUGUACUUCACUGACCACUGUGAUAUGAGGAGGCAGCUAAACUCAUGUCAGUCUGCGCAUCCCAUAUCCUUCAAGCUGAGCAACUCUGUCCUAAUCCUUUUUCUUUUUAUUUAUUUAUUGAGACAGGGUCUCACUCUGUCAUCUAGACUGGAGUGCAGUGGCUCCAUCACAGCUCACUGCAGCCUCGACCUCCUGGGAUCAAGUAAUCGUCCUGCCUCAGCCUCCUGAGUAGCUGGGACUACAGGCAUGUGCCACCACACUCAGCUAAUUUUUGUAUGAUUUUAGACGUGGGGUCUCCCUAUGUUGCCCAGGCUAGUCUCAAACAUCUAGUUUCAAGCAAUCCUCCUGCCUCAGCCUCCCAAAGUGCUGGGAUUAUGGGCAAGAGACACUGCACCUGGCCCUUGUCUGUUUUAUAUAGUGGGUUUCUACACAAGAUUGUGUGUAAAUGUGUUUUAUAGCAAAAAAAAUAGUUUGACAAUUAGUAACAUUGACCCAGCUGCUAAUUGACAGUGAAUAUUUCACUUCAGUGACUCUACUUGUUUGUUGACAAAGCUACUACUGAGCAGGGGCAGUGAUAUUGUCAAGUCCUGUUUGUGUGUGUGUGUGUGUGUGUGUGUGUGUGUGUGUGUGUACAAAUAUUUUUAAAUGCUUACCAAUGGUUCAAUACUGAAUAAAGCCUAUGUACUCCCAAUGAUUACUGUCCAAAAUAGCAUUAUGCAAAGUACUUAACUGAGCUUCCACCUUAUGAUUCUAAAAGCUAAGCAAAAAUGCUUGUCACUCUUUUGAAGAUAUGGGUUAUAAUUAUUGGAGAAGCACGUUCACAUGCAGUUUGACUCUUCUCCACGUUGGAGUAAUUACCCUGCAUUGUAGCUGGACUCAGGGGAUUUUGAAUGUAGUAAUGAAUUGCUGCGAACCUUCCAAGAAAUACAGAACCAUAUGUCUCAGGAAAUGGGUUGGAGGCUGUAGCUAUAGAUAAGAACGUGGGAAGGGAAUGCUAGUACUUCUAAAGACAACUGUGUAAGGUUAUGAAUUGAAAUUCAUUGCUAAUGUGGAUGAAGCUGGAAUGUAUUUUUCCCAUGAUGUUUAGUGUGGAAUUUGUCAUAGUAGCAGGAAAUUGGAUGCUAAACUUUUAAGUUGCUUUCCAGUGAUUAAAGAACAGAAUGUCCAGAUUCUUAGAAUCUCCAUACUAGAAGUUCAAAUUUACAUGUAGCUUAUGUUAUCUGGAUGGCUACAAUUAUAAACUCUCAGAAGCUUAGGCCAGAUCAUAAAAAGGCCAAAAUAUGAGAAUGAAACCACUGAGAAUUAAAAUACAGAAGUUGAAAGUCACCAACUGUAGAAGUUUCAUAUUCAAGAGAUAUUUUCUUUUUCCUGAGGAGACAUUUUCUUUUUCCUGAGGAGAUCAAAAUCCAGU